rnacentral:rRNA from 1 species
GACGUAGGGUGCUAGCGUUAUUCGGAAUUACUGGGCGUAAAGGGCACGUAGGCGGCUUUGUAAGUCAGAGGUGAAAGCCUGGAGCUCAACUCCAGAACUGCCUUUGAGACUGCAUCGCUUGAAUCCAGGAGAGGUGAGUGGAAUUCCGAGUGUAGAGGUGAAAUUCGUAGAUAUUCGGAAGAACACCAGUGGCGAAGGCGACUUACUGGACACAUAUUGACGCUGAGGUGCGAAAGCGUGGGGAGCGAACAGG